UACAGAGGGUGCGAGCGUUAAUCGGAAUUACUGGGCGUAAAGCGUGCGUAGACGGUAGCGUAAGUCGGGUGUGAAAGCCCCGGGCUCAACCUGGGAAUUGCAUUCGAGACUGCUCUGCUAGGGUGCGGAAGAGGGAAGCGGAAUUUCCGGUGUAGCGGUGAAAUGCGUAGAUAUCGGAAGGAACACCAGUGGCGAAGGCGGCUCACUGGCCCGGUACUGACGCUGAGGUGCGAAAGCGUGGGGAGCAAACAGG
rnacentral:rRNA from 1 species